AUGGUUCUGGAGGACGAGAGCAGCGAUGACAACUCAAGCCUCCCGUACAUGCACUCCGAGUCCUCCACCGAUGGGCUGAACCAGGUGCCUUUCUCACUUGAGGACCCGGAUUACAAGGGCCUUGAGCUAGAUCUGAUGGUGUUCUAUGAGAAGCAUGGGAAGCCAUCAAGGAGGCUUGUUGUGUUUGAAGGAACAAUCAUUGGGAGAAGGUUCUUAGCAUGUGCAGAGCUGAGCAAGUCUGCUAGGGUGAGUGAUAAUCUUCAAAGUGCUUUAACUAUUCAUCAUUUGACAAAAGAAAAGAACAAGCUGGAUGCAGACUAUGACAAGUUAGUGAAAGAUGUGCAUCAACUUGUGGACUUUCAGCAGGAUAGGGUUGUGGAUUUCAGUUAUCUGCAGUCCGCUGUCACAUAUCAGCACCAAUGCAGAGCUGAAUUGGUGGCUGGUAUGAAUGCAGACAUGACAAAGAAAGAUGCAGCUAUAGAGAAGCUUCAACAGAAGUAUGAACUCCUGUGCAACCUGACAAGUGCUCGAGCAACUGUCAUCCAAAACCUGAAGUUGAAGAAUAUGAAAGAGAAGGAAUUGAUGAGUGAGGCUAGGAUGAAUUUGGAGUUCAAGAAUGCAGAGUUCACAAAGUUUGAGGAGAAGCUCACCCAAGAGAAGCUAGAGUUGAAGUUCCAGGUUGCCGAUCUGCUGAAGAUCAAGGAAAACCAUAAUGAAGAGAAGCAGAUGCAAGAGUUUAAGAUUACUGAGCUCAUGAAGGCAGAGGAGAAGCUGAAGGAGAAGAUCACGGGGAUCCAGGCCAUCUUGCAGAACUGA
rnacentral:rRNA from 1 species